rnacentral:rRNA from 1 species
UACGUAGGGUGCAAGCGUUGUCCGGAAUUAUUGGGCGUAAAGAGCUCGUAGGCGGUUUGUCGCGUCUGCUGUGAAAACCCGAGGCUCAACCUCGGGCCUGCAGUCGAUACGGGCAAACUAGAGUACUGCAGGGGAGACUGGAAUUCCUGGUGUAGCGGUGAAAUGCGUAGAUAUCGUCAGGAAUGCCGGUGGUGAAGACGGGUGACUGGGCUGGUUCUG